CGGAGGAUAAAUACGAGUGAGGGCCUCUGGGUCAACCUCACCGUGUUUAUUUUACUUGUUGCUUCGGCGGGCGCUUAACGGCGCGGGGGGCUCAGCCCGGGCCGCGCCGCCGAAACACCUCGACUCUGUCUGAAGAUUGUAGUCUGAGUGAAAAUAUAAAUUAUUUAAAACUUUCACAACGGAUCUCUUGGUUCGGCAUCGAUGAAGAACGCAGCGAAAUGCGAUACGUAAUGUGAAUUGCAAAUUCAGUGAAUCAUCGAGUCUUUUGAACGCACAUUGCGCCCUGGGUUAUUCGGGGGGGCAUGCCUGUCGAGCGUCAUUGCCUGCCUCCAGCACGGCUGUGGUGUUUGGGGCCCCGUCUUCCGAUCCGGAGGGACGGGCCGAAAGGGCAGCGCGCCCCGCGUCGGUUCUUCUAACGUAUGGGGCUUUGUCACCCGCUCUGUAGUCCGCCGGCCUUGCGAUAACGAAUUUUAUCAGGUGACUCGGAACAGUAGGGAUCGCCUGACUAAGCAUUACUAGCGGAGG
rnacentral:rRNA from 1 species